CGAAAAAGUGUUCACAUCGGUCCCGACUCCCCUCUGAAAUCGACCUGAACCUUAUCCUCUCAUCCCCCUCACUCUGUCAGUCUCUCUCUGCUCCUUGCGUCUCCUCCCCCGAGCCCAGCCUUCCACUUCUCCUCCCCCGAGAUGCAGCCACCGGCUUGUCCGCUGGCUCGUCGGCGCGACCUCCCUCCCUCCUUCGUCAUCUCUCCUCCCCCUCCCUCGAGCCCCUCCUUCCUCCUCCCCUCCCCCAAGCCCCUCCUUCCUCCUCUCCUCUCCCCUCGCCGAGAUGCAGGAUGCAGCCGCCGGCUCGUCGGCGCGGCUGUGGAUAGGUGCCCCUCCUUCCUCCUCUCUCUCUCCCCCACCCCCCAGCCGCCGAGACGCAUCUCGAGCGCCGCCGAUGGUGAUCUAGUAGUCGGCGCGCCCUCCGAUCUGCCGCUACCGGCGCCGGAAGGGCACGAGAGAUGGCCGGUGACCACCAUCCCCCGUUGUCAUCGUCCCUGAUGCAGCGGCAGCGAGCUUCUUCAUCGCCUGCAAGGUGGCCGAGUGCUGCUGCGUCGGCGGCGAUGGCAGGAAGGCGACGGGCGGCGCUGGCAUCCGGAACAGCCUAGGGUUGUUGUUCAAGCGGGGGUUGAUGUGCGGCAAGGAGGUGGAGAUGCAGACGUGCAGUUGGUGCUGGUUGCCGUGGAGCGUGGCCAGGAUGGCUUGGUUGUGUUUGCCCUGUUCAAAUUUAGGGACCGAGGGAGUAUUAUUUUGUGCUGCCGUCAUUCAUUUGCUGUUUGCGGGGUGGAUGGGAAGACGUCUGCAUCCGUUGAGAUUACUUCCAGACACGACAGUUACUGCAGCUACUAGAAGAAGUUUCUAUUUUUUUGGGUAAAUGGAAUGUUUUCUUCAUUAGUCAAGGUGUAAGAUUUGUCUUUGUCUAUAUAGACUAAUAGAUUUACUUUUGUUCUCAUUACUUUGCUGGAUUAUAGAAUUCUUCUCAAGCCGAUAACUAUAUAUCCAAUCUUUUCUUGGAUGUAACAAUCUUUUCUCGGAUGUAAUUCUGGUGCAUGCCCUAAAUAUCACAUCAGCUUGAUGAUUUUUUACCCUUUUUACAAUGUCUACUAGGAGUCUGGAUCAUCCCAAUGUUUAUGCGAUGUCUCCUGCUAGCUAGUAUAUUGCUAAAUUCAAGCUGGGAAUAUGAGAAAUCCUAUCUGUGCGAGGUCUUUAGAGGUAUGCACGAACGAGCCAUGUGACGCUAGCCGCUAGGGAGUGCGUAUCUAUCUUGGUUAGACCCCAAGUUUCUUCCCUGUUUGUGUUGUUUUCUAAUGGUUGCGAUUUUUUUGGAUAAGCUCUACAUCUGCUAGUUGUUGCUCUAAUUUUCUAUUGUUCUUAUUUUGUUUACAGGGUGGAUGGGAAUGGGAUUUGCAUCCAUCAAGGUUACUUCCGCACAUACAAGGCAUUAACUGAAACGAACAGAACAAAUUUCUGCUCUUCUUGGGUUACUGGAAUGCUUUCGUCAUUGGACAGUCUGGCAGAACAAGCUUCUUUCUGCCUGAAGUGCAAGAAUUUUCUUUGUCUAUAUAGACCAGUAGAUGUAAUUUUGUUCUCAUUACUUUCUUGGAUCUAUAGAAUUAUUUUGAAGCCAGCGGGAAAUUUCUAACACGUAUAUUGUACUUUUUUUCUCAUAUAUAAUUCUGAUGCACACUGUACAUGUCA